UCCCUGGUGGCUCAGAGGUUAAAGCAUCUGCCUCCAAUGUAGGAGACCUGGGUUUGAUCCCUGGGUCGGGAA
rfam:TPA: Bos taurus chromosome 16, whole genome shotgun sequence.